AGGAUAAACGCUGGCGGCGUGCCUAACACAUGCAAGUCGAACGUCUCUUCUUUCGGGAAGAGGAGUGGCGGACGGGUGAGUACCACGUGGGUCAUCUACCGUGAGGUGAGGAAUACCGGCGAGAAAUCGCCGACAAGACCGCAUAGGCUCGAUGCAAGUCGAGCAAAGCUCUUUCGAGAGAGGGAGCGCCACACGAGGAGCCUGCGCCCGAUUAGCUAGCUGGUGGAGUAACGGUUCACCAGGGCGACGAUCGGUAGCUGGUCUGAGAGGACGAUCAGCCACACUGGGAUUGAGAACGGCCCAGACUCCUACGGGGGGCAGCAGUGAGGAAUUUUCGUCAAUGGGGGCAACCUGAACGAGCAACGCCGCGUGCAGGAAGAAGGUUUUCGGAUCGUAAACUGCUUUUCGUCGGGGAAGAGGAACGGACGGUACCCGAGGAAUCGAGCCCCGGACUAACUACGUGCCAGCAGCCGC
rnacentral:rRNA from 1 species